AGCUGGUCCAAGUGCAGUGGUUUUAACAAUUUAUUGAUCACAGCCAAUUACAGAUUUCUUUGUUUCUUUCUCCACUCUCAGUGUUUCACUUGACUUGCCUUUG
ensembl:Y_RNA Y_RNA Y RNA